CAGCAGUCGCCGCGGUAAUACGGAGGGUGCAAGCGUUAAUCGGAAUUACUGGGCGUAAAGCGUGCGUAGGCGGUUCGUUAAGUCUGUUGUGAAAGCCCCGGGCUCAACCUGGGAAUGGCAAUGGAUACUGGCGAGCUAGAGUGUGUCAGAGGAUGGUGGAAUUCCCGGUGUAGCGGUGAAAUGCGUAGAGAUCGGGAGGAACAUCAGUGGCGAAGGCGGCCAUCUGGGACAACACUGACGCUGAGGCACGCAAGCGUGGGGAGCAAACAGGAUUAGAUACCCGCGUAGUCCCUGUCUCUUAUAA
rnacentral:rRNA from 1 species